GAUACCCGUUUUCCUAAGAUCACAAAAGUUAAGCAACGUCGAGCUUGAUCAGUAUCUAGAUGGGUCACCGCUUGGGAAUACUACAUGCUGUAAG